rnacentral:rRNA from 1 species
AACGAACGCUGGCGGCAGGCUUAACACAUGCAAGUCGAGCGCCCCGCAAGGGGAGCGGCAGACGGGUGAGUAACGCGUGGGAACGUACCCUUAUCUUCGGAAUAGCUCCGGGAAACUGGAAUUAAUACCGAAUGUGCCCUUUGGGGGAAAGAUUUAUCGGAUAAGGAUCGGCCCGCGUUGGAUUAGCUAGUUGGUGGGGUAAAGGCCUACCAAGGCGACGAUCCAUAGCUGGUCUGAGAGGAUGAUCAGCCACAUUGGGACUGAGACACGGCCCAAACGCCUACGGGAGGCAGCAGUGGGGAAUAUUGGACAAUGGGCGCAAGCCUGAUCCAGCCAUGCCGCGUGAGUGAUGAAGGCCCUAGGGUUGUAAAGCUCUUUCAGUAGGGAAGAUAAUGACGGUACCUACAGAAGAAGCCCCGGCUAACUUCGUGCCGGCCGCCGCCGUAACAC